rnacentral:rRNA from 1 species
GACGGAGGAUGCAAGUGUUAUCCGGAAUCACUGGGCGUAAAGCGUCUGUAGGUGGUCAAAUAAGUCAACUGCUAAAUCUUGAGGCUCAACCUCAAAAUCGCAGUCGAAACUAUUAGACUAGAGUAUAGUAGGGGUAAAGGGAAUUUCCAGUGGAGCGGUGAAAUGCGUAGAGAUUGGAAAGAACACCGAUGGCGAAGGCACUUUACUGGGCUAUUACUAACACUCAGAGACGAAAGCUAGGGUAGCAAAUGGG